rnacentral:tRNA from 1 species
GGGGCUGUAGUAUAGCUUGGUAGAAUUCUACCUUGGGGUGGUAGCGGCCCGUGUUCAAAUCACGGCAGCCCCA